UGAUCCCGUAUUGCGGACACUUUCACCAUAAGAAUAAACACUGUAUUUUUGCGAGCUUCCCAAAACAAUUGGAUUGGUGUAAGGAGUGGGUACGGAGAAUAGGAGUAAAAGAGUUAAGGAAUUUAUCAGUGGAAAGACUCAACAAAAUACGUUAUGUAUGUGGAUGUAAUUUCACUGUUGAUCAGUUUCGAAAUCCAUCCAAGAAGAAAUUGAAGGAUACAGCUGUACCAUCUGUGUUUCAUUCACAAAUUGUUCCUCUUGACGAUGAGCUUUUGCAAAAUUUCCCAUAUCCUCAAACAGUCAAGAAUACUCUCCUCCCCACAGAAGCCAAAAGAGUUUCCAUACCUGUGGAAGAUUCGAGGGCGCUCUAUGCAGGAGAAGUACAUCUCAAUAAAAUCAAAAAAUCAUCAGAAAAUAUCCCUCCACUAAUUAAUAUUGCGAUUGUAAACGAUGUGCCUGUCCACACAUCUCUGGUAUCAUCAGGUGAUAUCCUCGUGGAGACAGCACCAGUCAGGGCCCUAGUCGAUGAUCAACCAAGAUGCUCACAUGACAAUGCUUAAAAGCCAGCGGUAUCGAAACGAGUCCUGAGUGACAAUGUAUCCUAUGAUUAGCAUUGGGGGAUCUAACGAAACAAUUAUAUCCCCAGCUGUGAUAAGAGCACCAUCAACUAUCACAAUUCAGGUUAAGUCAAGAGGUCCAAUUCAAUCAACCCCAAUGACAAGAGCCCUCGUAAUCCCAGCCCCAAGUGGACACAUCCGUCACAAUAUCAGAAAUAGAAUCUCGGAAGGUGAAAACAGCACAUCAGCUCUAUAUCAGUGGACAACCUUCAGGGGAUUGUCCAGUGCAUCUAUGGAAAAUUGAACCCCUCGAUGAAGAACGAGUUGUUGUCGUGAUCGUGAUGCCAGAGAAAAUUUAAACCAAGUACAAUAGACGUUCCACCAAAUGUGAAGUUAUGAUUGGAAACGAUGGAAAAAAAUUUAUGGGGGCUGAUGACCAACAGUGAUAUUUCACCCCUUAAGGCCCAUAUAUCCUCUCACAACGUUUUUAUCUCUG